rnacentral:rRNA from 1 species
CCUACGGGGAGCUGCAGUAGGGAAUAUUGCUCAAUGGGGGAAACCCUGAAGCAGCAACGCCGCGUGGAGGAUGACGGUUUUCGGAUUGUAAACUCCUUUUGUUAGAGAAGAUAAUGACGGUAUCUAACGAAUAAGCACCGGCUAACUCCGUGCCAGCAGCCGCGGUAAUACGGAGGGUGCAAGCGUUACUCGGAAUCACUGGGCGUAAAGAGCGCGUAGGCGGGAUAGCAAGUCAGAUGUGAAAUCGUAUGGCUUAACCAUAGAACUGCAUUUGAAACUGUUAUUCUAGAGUAUGGGAGAGGUAGGUGGAAUGCUUGGUGUAGGGGUAAAAU